GUCCCUGUAGCGCAAUGAAUAGCGCGUUGGACUUCUAAUUCAAAGGUCGUGGGCUCGAAUCCUACCUGGGAUG
rnacentral:tRNA from 1 species